AUCUCAUCUCACAUUUGUGGUGGUUGUUACUGUAGCCCGUGUCUACGUCGAUUCCAACGUCUACAAUGACUCGUCGAAUUCUUGUCUUGGCAUUCGCCAUUGUCCUCGUCGCCGCUCUUUUCCACCAGAGCGAGGCUGGAUUGAAACUGAGGAAGCUCGCCAGAGCCGCUCUCCUCGGCGCCGCCAUCGCCCCUCGCUUCGUGCCCAUCCCCAUCCCGCACCACGUCCAUGAGAAGCACGGAUGGGACCACGGUCACGAGAAGCACGGAUGGGACCACGGACACGGAUGGGAACACGCCCCUGCCUGGUAGUUUGACAACCGGGAAAACCGCGGAUAACGCUUAGUGUUCUAGUUUGAAUCGCUGUUCCACCAUGUACAUACAUCUUCUACGUCUACGUCCGUACGUCGACUUUCGGCCUCAAGCCGAGAAAUCCGACUGCUCGACAACAACGUGCUUGUCUUAAAUGUAAUUUAUUGUCGUCCGGCUCGACCGUUGCCGCUGGUGUCAACGUUCCCGUCCAAACUGAUCCUAAUCGUUCGUAAAUAUGUGAUGCGUGUGAGUGGGUGUGUGUUUGUCCGGAGUGAGAUUCCUCAAAUAUUGUCGCUGCCAACCUGAAAUGUCUUUUCCGCUGAUUAGAAUUGAGGGCAACUCGAAGAUUGCGAACAGAAACGAAUAUUCGUCAAUGAUGAGGAUUACUCAAUAAAAUCCCUUUCAUUUUGAAAUUA